AGUGAUCAGCUAAACAAAUUGGUCUCCGAAGUGCAGCCGUGCUGGAGCAGACCCUGCUGCAGGGUACGGCGCGGCUGUAUUUCACCAUCGUGCUACGUGCUCCGAGUGGAGGGAGAUGGCCCCUUCCUCCCUGCAAGGCGAGCAGAAGCCUUUGUUGGAAGAGGCUGCAGCGUGCUCUGCAGAGAAAUCCGCAGACAAUAAGAGCCAGAGUGGGUUUUCUUUUCUUUCUUUUUUCUUUUUUUCUUUUUUUGGUGGCUUGGCUUUGGCUUUUUUUCCCCCCACCCCCCUUUCCUUUCGGUGUGUUUCAUCUCUCCUGGUCACCUCCAUGCCGUGGCCUGGGUCCGCCAGUUGGUGGAUCAGGUGUCGGGUCAGAAGGGAUGGGGAGGCAAUGCCAGGCGGGUGGAGGAGGAGGCUGCGUCCUGCCGCUGCCACAACGCCGGCAUGGCAUGGCAAGGGUGCGGGGCUCCCCCUCCCCUGGUUGGGGCUCCUCUCAGCUGGCAGCCUGAUUCCGCCUCAGUAAAGACAAGCCACCAGUGCAGCAAUCAGUGUUUCUUGCAAGAGGGGAAUGAUGCUGUAAUGAGAAGCCUUUCUGCUCCUCGAAUAGUGACAGGAUAUGAAUUUUGAUGGGAGACGGCGAGCUCGGAGACGCUGGAGCCUCGCCUUGUGCCUGAAGUGCCUUCCGUCGUUAAUGAUGCGCCGGUCCUCCUGCGGGGAGCAGUGGGCUGUGUCUCGUGAAGGUUGUGGACGAUUCUCCUCGCAGGGGAAGAAAAACACUUAGCUCGUGCUUUAAGGCAAACAAUAUCGCUGAUACAACAAGUCACAAAGCAGUGGGGUGGCAGAGAGAUAAUGUCUCUGGAAAUAUUAAUAGAUUUAGAAUGUUCUUUUACAUCGGUUGAUGAGAUUUAUAGUUACCAGGUAUUUUGUUUUUUUAUUAUUAUUAUUCAUACCAUUUGGAUCUGAGUUAAAGCCUGUAGCUAUUUUUGUUUUUUACUUAAACCUCCAGCUGUUCGGAAUCUUGCUGUUGCUUCCCAGUGAAUACGUCUGGAAGCAAAGUGUACUUGAGCUGAGUAUUAUUCACCAUUCAGCAGAAUGUUGUUGGGAGAGCUCCAGCGUCCCACCUGAACACACAUGCUCCGCUUGGGUUUCGAUUUGGGGGCUUAUGAGUGUAUAACGACCAUUGUUUGGCUUGAUGAAUGGCGGACUUUGCAUUUCAGUUGCGUGAAUCCCAGUUACUUCGGUCCUAUUCCAGAAGUUUGAAAUGGCUUUUUCUGCUUUUUUUUUCUCCCUUUCCCCAAGUGCUCCCUUUCCGAGGUCUGUCACUUUAUUACUUUAAUGCUUCAGAACAAGUUUGUUUAAAUAUUUACUUAUACUCAGGAUGUCACCAGCUGACAGUUUGUGACAGAGAUUCAUGGCACUGUCCUGCAACGAGGUUAAUUAUCCCGCGCUCGCGGUGAAGGAUGCCGUUGUGUUGCCGUUGUUUCGUUUUCUGGAAUGACAGUGUUUGUGAGCUUCUGGUUUAAAGGAUGCAUCUGCUGUCUAAGUGCCCAUCUGCGUAAUGAAAUUAGGCUGGGACUUCUGCAGCGUUCCUCGCUGGUUCUGCUGCCCACCUGCCUGCCUCGUCUAACGAAUGGGAGAAAACCUGCCAGCUUAAAAUGGGACCAGGGGAAUGGGGGACAGGGAAAAGUGACAAUGGAGGUGCUUGUGGUGAGAGCGCAGCUCCUCGCCUUGCAAUUGCGAGCUCAGUCUCUCAGCCUGGUGAGGAGAAAGGGACCCAAAUAAAGCCUGGUCACAUCUGCAGGGAAAAAUGCAUAGGGAUGCAGAAAAGCCCUGUUUGUAAUUUGUGUUUUUGUCCUGGUGGGAACCCAUUUAAUUAGUGCAAGAAGGUAUUGAAUUUUAGCUUAUCAUGCAUAUUGUUUUCCAGCUGUACAGAAGGUUGCCAAGUUUCUAAUGGCCUGACCCUACUCUGUAAAUCAGCAGUAAAUUGCGGCAUUUACACUGAGCAAAGGCAAAGGGCUCAUUCUGUUGGGUUUGCGCUGUCACAGGAACCUGGGCUAAGGGAUUAAUGGUCUGAUGUUAAACAUCUGUCCCCUGUCUUUGGGGGGACGUAAACACACAAAGAGGGAAUCUAAUGCCAUCUACUAAAAGAUCUUCAAUGAGAGGGAGCCCUUGCUAACAUUUCCAUCCAGUGGCACCUCAGACACAUUGCCUCUUUAUGCUAAAGCCCCACAGCACUAAGGGCCCUAUAAAUAGUCUCCAUGUGACAGCUCCGAGAAGAAGAGAGGUUUCCUCUAGACAUUAGUUGUGCUAAAAGAUUCAUCAUUACCUGCAGUCAUGAAAUAAAUCUUUGAUACUUACAACUAUAAUAUCCAUGCUCUACGUUUUAUUGCAGAUAUAGGUAGACAGUCAUUAUUUCUGACACUUUCUCGGCAUUACAAGGAGUACUCUAGGGGAACAACUAGUGUACAGUCUUACAGAAAUAGAUUGAUAUAACCACAUGGAAACCAGUUACUUGCAGUCAAUAUAAUAUUCCCUUAAUGAUGUUAAACAGUCGUGUAGAUUCCAAGUUUAAUGUAAAAAUUCUGUCUUCGAACAACCGUAGUUAUCUACUGAUUAAGUUGCCAGAGGGGAAAUUUAUUUUUUCAUCAUAUGUAAGUCCUUGAGAAAUAUAUUACUUGGAGCAGAAUUAAAUAGUUUUUUUUGUUUGUUUGUUUGUUUUGUUUGUUUGUUUCCAUGAUUAUCUGUUACUCUUUGGAGGAUGUUAAGGUAAGACAAUAGUCAAAAGCAAUCACUUCACAGCACUCAUGGGAGAUGGAAGCAUGGUGUCCUGUGAAGCAGGGCACUGAGGGAUGCUCUUUGCAUCUUUGACGGUUGCUCUUUCUAUGUGGCAGGUACUGGUGUCACAUAAAUUCAGUGGAUAUUUUACAUGGCAAACAACAUCCCACAC
ensembl:lncRNA